rnacentral:lncRNA from 1 species
GUUAGCACAAAGAAGCACAAAAGAGUUUGAUAAGUGCACAAGGGAACUGAAAUUGUUCAUAGAAUUGCAUGGAAAAAGUGAUUUCUUUCGAAAAAAUGUGUAUUUAAUUAAUAUAUUUUUAAAACAAAAGAAAACUUCAGACAUAUGCACAAUUAUAAUAUACCAGUUUUCUAAAUACAGAUAUCACCAGCGGCGAUCAAAGACAUCGUCAUUUCAUUUGCGCCAAUUUUUAAAAAAUCAAACCUUUCAUUUGCGCCACAAGGUUAUAUAUCAUUUGCGCCAAAAAAAAAAAACCUUCAUUUGCGCCAUUUUACAGGUAUGACAGGUAACAUAACGGAAAAGUUAAAUAUUAUUUACGAUUUAUUUUGUUUUUUGUUUGUACAUAACUCCCCCUGGAUAUAUGUGUGAGUUCAUACUCAUUUCUAAUACAAAACUGAGAGUCACUAAGGUUAUAAUUAUAUAUAUAGUGUUCACAUGACCAGUCCAGUGUGAGGUGUCAAGAUGGACGUAGUCAAAUCUGAGACAAACAGAGGAAAGAAUUCUGUGAUAUUUGAUGACCACAUAUAUAGGUUAUCAAAUGUUUUAAAAAAUGGAGACAAAUCCUUCAGGUGUACCAAAAAAACCUGUAAAGCCAGGAUUACGACUGAUGCGGACAGCAAAACAAUUAUAAAAACUUUAAACGAGCACAACCAUGGAGUAAAUCAGCAGAAAGUAGAAUCUCAACAACUCAGAGUCCGAGUUCGGAAAGCAUCUGGUGAUAUAACUGCAAGACCUUCAAAGAUAAUACGCACAGAACUACAAGG